AAGGAUGGGGAGAUAGAAAGGUUGACAACAGGGGCGUCAGAGCUGCAUAAGUCAAAACGGAACUUAAUUGAAUUGUUGGAGCAGAAAGAUUUAGAGAAAAGUGAAAAGAAUGCUACUAUCAAGAGCUACUUAGAUAAAAUUGUCCGCUUGACAGAAAAUUGCGCACAGAAGGAAGCUCGAUUGGGUGAAGCGGAGACAGAGGUGGCACGUGUCCGGGCUACAUGCACUCGUCUUUCUCAGGUUGGAGCUUUGCAAAACUGUUAACCUGGAGUGUCCCUCCCAUCUUUCUGUUCUUGAGUCCUUUAAUGAUGACGAACUUUCUGGCUCUAGCUUCAAAUAUGCUUUAUGUUUAUUUUCUUUUUGUAUUCUUU